UUUAAUUGAUCCUGGCUCAAUGCACGGUGGUACAUGCUUUACACAUGCAAGUCGAACGGUAACAGGUCUUCGGAUGCUGACGAGUGGCGAACGGGUGAGUAAUACAUCGGAACGUGCCUAGUAGUGGGGGAUAACUACUCGAAAGAGUAGCUAAUACCGCAUGAGAUCUACGGAUGAAAGCAGGGGACCUUCGGGCCUUGUGCUACUAGAGCGGCUGAUGGCAGAUUAGUAGUUGGUGGGGUAAAGGCUUACCAAGCCUGCGAUCUGUAGCUGGUCUGAGAGGACGACCAGCCACACUGGGACUGAGACACGGCCCAGACUCCUACGGGAGGCAGCAGUGGGGAAUUUUGGACAAUGGGCGAAAGCCUGAUCCAGCAAUGCCGCGUGCAGGAUGAAGGCCCUCGGGUUGUAAACUGCUUUUGUACGGAACGAAAAGCCUGGGGCUAAUAUCCCCGGGUCAUGACGGUACCGUAAGAAUAAGCACCGGCUAACUACGUAGCCAGCAGCCGCGGUAAUACGUAGGGUGCAACGCGUUAAUCGGAAUUACUGGGCGUAAAGCGUAGCGCAGGCGGUUUGUAAGACCAGGGGGAAAUCCCCGGGCUCAACCUGGGGNAAACCUGGCCAUUGGUGACCUGCAAGGCCUAAGAAGNGCCGGCANAAAGGGGGGACAUGGAAUUCCCGCGGU
rnacentral:rRNA from 1 species